UACGUAGGGUGCGAGCGUUAAUCGGAAUUAUUGGGCGUAAAGAGCUCGUAGGCGGCUUGUCGCGUCGGAUGUGAAAGCCCGGGGCUUAACUCCGGGUCUGCAUUCGAUACGGGCAGGCUAGAGUUCGGUAGGGGAGAUCGGAAUUCCUGGUGUAGCGGUGAAAUGCGCAGAUAUCAGGAGGAACACCGGUGGCGAAGGCGGAUCUCUGGGCCGAUACUGACGCUGAGGAGCGAAAGCGUGGGGAGCGAACAGG
rnacentral:rRNA from 1 species